rnacentral:rRNA from 1 species
CGAGGGGAGUGAAAAAGAACCUGAAACCGUGUACGUACAAGCAGUGGGAGCACCCUUUGGGGUGUGACUGCGUACCUUUUGUAUAAUGGGUCAGCGACUUAUAUUCUGUAGCAAGGUUAACCGAAUAGGGGAGCCGGAGGGAAACCGAGUCUUAAUUGGGCGUUAAGUUGCAGGGUAUAGACCCGAAACCCGGUGAUCUAGCCAUGGGCAGGUUGAAGGUUGGGUAACACUAACUGGAGGACCGAACCGACUAAUGUUGAAAAAUUAGCGGAUGACCUGUGGCUGGGGGUGAAAGGCCAAUCAAACCGGGAGAUAGCUGGUUCUCCCCGAAAGCUAUUUAGGUAGCGCCUCGUGAAUUCAUCUCCGGGGGUAGAGCACUGUUUCGGCUAGGGGGCCAUCCCGGCUUACCAACCCGAUGCAAACUGCGAAUACCGGAGAAUGUUAUCACGGGAGACACACGGCGGGUGCUAACGUCCGUCGUGAAGAGGGAAACAACCCAGACCGCCAGCUAAGGUCCCAAAGUCAUAGUUAAGUGGGAAACGAUGUGGGAAGGCCCAGACAGCCAGGAUGUUGGCUUAGAAGCAGCCAUCAUUUAAAGAAAGCGUAAUAGCUCACUGGUCGAGUCGGCCUGCGCGGAAGAUGUAACGGGGCUAAACUAUGCACCGAAGCUGCGGCAGCGACACUAUGUGUUGUUGGGUAGGGGAGCGUUCUGUAAGCCUGUGAAGGUGUGUCGUGAGGCAUGCUGGAGGUAUCAGAAGUGCGAAUGCUGACAUAAGUAACGAUAAAGCGGGUGAAAAGCCCGCUCGCCGGAAGACCAAGGGUUCCUGUCCAACGUUAAUCGGGGCAGGGUGAGUCGACCCCUAAGGCGAGGCCGAAAGGCGUAGUCGAUGGGAAACGGGUUAAUAUUCCCGUACUUGGUGUUACUGCGAAGGGGGGACGGAGAAGGCUAUGUUGGCCGGGCGACGGUUGUCCCGGUUUAAGCGUGUAGGUGUGUGUUCCAGGUAAAUCCGGUUCACUUUAACACUGAGGCGUGAUGACGAGGCACUACGGUGCUGAAGCAACAAAUGCCCUGCUUCCAGGAAAAGCCUCUAAGCAUCAGGUAACAUCAAAUCGUACCCCAAACCGACACAGGUGGUCAGGUAGAGAAUACCAAGGCGCUUGAGAGAACUCGGGUGAAGGAACUAGGCAAAAUGGUGCCGUAACUUCGGGAGAAGGCACGCUGACACGUAGGUGAAGUGAUUUACUCAUGGAGCUGAAGUCAGUCGAAGAUACCAGCUGGCUGCAACUGUUUAUUAAAAACACAGCACUGUGCAAACACGAAAGUGGACGUAUACGGUGUGACGCCUGCCCGGUGCCGGAAGGUUAAUUGAUGGGGUCAGCGCAAGCGAAGCUCCUGAUCGAAGCCCCGGUAAACGGCGGCCGUAACUAUAACGGUCCUAAGGUAGCGAAAUUCCUUGUCGGGUAAGUUCCGACCUGCACGAAUGGCGUAAUGAUGGCCAGGCUGUCUCCACCCGAGACUCAGUGAAAUUGAACUCGCUGUGAAGAUGCAGUGUACCCGCGGCAAGACGGAAAGACCCCGUGAACCUUUACUAUAGCUUGACACUGAACAUUGAGCCUUGAUGUGUAGGAUAGGUGGGAGGCUUUGAAGUGUGGACGCCAGUCUGCAUGGAGCCGACCUUGAAAUACCACCCUUUAAUGUUUGAUGUUCUAACGUGGACCCGUGAUCCGGGUUGCGGACAGUGUCUGGUGGGUAGUUUGACUGGGGCGGUCUCCUCCUAAAGAGUAACGGAGGAGCACGAAGGUUGGCUAAUCCUGGUCGGACAUCAGGAGGUUAGUGCAAUGGCAUAAGCCAGCUUGACUGCGAGCGUGACGGCGCGAGCAGGUGCGAAAGCAGGUCAUAGUGAUCCGGUGGUUCUGAAUGGAAGGGCCAUCGCUCAACGGAUAAAAGGUACUCCGGGGAUAACAGGCUGAUACCGCCCAAGAGUUCAUAUCGACGGCGGUGUUUGGCACCUCGAUGUCGGCUCAUCACAUCCUGGGGCUGAAGUAGGUCCCAAGGGUAUGGCUGUUCGCCAUUUAAAGUGGUACGCGAGCUGGGUUUAGAACGUCGUGAGACAGUUCGGUCCCUAUCUGCCGUGGGCGCUGGAGAACUGAGGGGGGCUGCUCCUAGUACGAGAGGACCGGAGUGGACGCAUCACUGGUGUUCGGGUUGUCAUGCCAAUGGCACUGCCCGGUAGCUAAAUGCGGAAGAGAUAAGUGCUGAAAGCAUCUAAGCACGAAACUUGCCCCGAG